UACGAAGGGGGCAAGCGUUGUUCGGAAUUACUGGGCGUAAAGGGCGCGCAGGCGGCUGAUCAAGUCAGAUGUGAAAGCCCCGGGCUCAACCUGGGAAUAGCAUUUGGGACUGGUCGGCUAGAGUUCGGGAGAGGAGAGUGGAAUUCCCAGUGUAGAGGUGAAAUUCGUAGAUAUUGGGAAGAACACCGGUGGCGAAGGCAGCUCGCUGGGACGUGACUGACGCUGAGACGCGAAAGCGUGGGGAGCAAACAGG
rnacentral:rRNA from 1 species